UACGUAGGGUGCUAGCGUUGUCCGGAUUUAUUGGGCGUAAAGAGCUCGUAGGCGGUUUGUCGCGUCUGCCGUGAAAGUCCGGGGCUCAACUCCGGAUCUGCGGUGGGUACGGGCAGACUAGAGUGAUGUAGGGGAGACUGGAAUUCCAGGUGGAGUGGUGAAAUGCGUAGAGAUCUGGAAGAACACCAAAGGCGAAGGCAGCAUCCUGGGAAGUUCCUGACGCUCGGGUGCGAAAGCCAGGGGAGCGAACGGG
rnacentral:rRNA from 1 species